AUUGAACGCUGGCGGCAUGCCUAACACAUGCAAGUCGAACGAGUGGCGGACGGGUGAGUAAUGUCUGGGAAACUGCCCGAUGGAGGGGGAUAACUACUGGAAACGGUAGCUAAUACCGCAUACCAUCCGAUUUGCCCAGAUGGGAUUAGCUUGUUGGUGGGGUAACGGCUCACCAAGGCAACGAUCCCUAGCUGGUCUGAGAGGAUGACCAGCCACACUGGGACUGAGACACGGUCCAGACUCCUACGGGAGGCAGCAGGGGGGAAUAUUGCACAAUGGGCGCAAGCCUGAUGCAGCCAUGCCGCGUGUAUGAAGAAGGCCUUCGGGUUGUAAAGUACUUUCAGCGGAGAAGCGGUACCCGCAGAAUAAGCACCGGCUAACUACGUGCCAGCAGCCGCGGUAAUUC
rnacentral:rRNA from 1 species